rnacentral:rRNA from 1 species
AGCCUUAAGUUAUCAUUUAAGGUGACGCCUGCCCAGUGUAUAUUAUAAAUGGCCGCAGUACCUUGACUGUGCUAAGGUAGCAUAAUCAGUUGGCUUUUAAAUGGAGUCGGGAAUGAAUGGAUUAAUGGGGGUGAAGCUGUCUCAUAUAUAUUUUAUUGAAUUUACUUAUUAGGUGAAAAUUCCUAACUUUUAGAAAAAAGACGAGAAGACCCUAGGAGUUUUCACUAGUCGUUAAACUUAUUAACUACUGUUUUUGUUGGGGCGACAUAGGAACAAUUAACUUCCUUUUGAAUAUGUGCCGACUAUGUAUGUAUAAUUAAACUACCCUAGGGAUAACAGCGUAAUUCUAUAUAGAGCUUGCGACCUCGAUGUUGGACUAGGAGCUUAGUUGGCUAGCCGCCAAUUAAUACUGUUCUGUUCGAACUUAAUUUCCUACAU